AGGAUGAACGCUGGCGGCGUGCCUCAAACAUGCAAGUCGAGCGAGGCUAUGAAUUACCGCAAGGUAAGGCAUAGCCUAGCGGCGAACGGGUGAGUAACACGUGGGUAACCUACCUGGAAGACAGGGAUAACGAUUCGAAAGGGUCGCUAAUACCUGAUAAUAUCCAUCUGCCGGAUGGCGGAGGGAAGAAAGGGGAAACCCGCUUUCAGAUGGGCCCGCGUCCCAUCAGCUAGUUGGUAAGGUAAAGGCUUACCAAGGCGACGACGGGUAGCCGGUCUGAGAGGAUGUACGGCCACACUGGGACUGAGAUACGGCCCAGACUCCUACGGGAGGCAGCAGUUGGGAAUCUUAGGCAAUGGACGAAAGUCUGACCUAGCGACGCCGCGUGAGGGAAGAAGGCCUUCGGGUUGUAAACCUCUGUCAUGGGGGAAGAAGUAAGUGACGGUACCCCAAGAGGAAGCCCCUGCUAACUACGUG
rnacentral:rRNA from 1 species